UUUGAGAAAAGCCUCUAGUGAGUGUCGUGGCGGCCCGUACCCCAAACCGACUCAGGUGGUCAGGUAGAGAAUACCAAGGCGAUCGGGUGAACUGUGGUUAAGGAACUCGGCAAAUUGCCCCCGUAACUUCGGGAGAAGGGGGGCCUCCGCUGGUGAUCAGACUUGCUUUGUGAGCUGGUGGGGGUCGCAGAGGCCAGGGGGAAGCGACUGUUUACUAAAAACACAGGUCCGUGCGAAGUCGUAAGACGAUGUAUACGGACUGACGCCUGCCCGGUGCUGGAACGUUAAGGGGACCGGUUAGCGCACUUCGGUGUGCGAGGCUGAGAACUUAAGCGCCAGUAAACGGCGGUGGUAACUAUAACCAUCCUAAGGUAGCGAAAUUCCUUGUCGGGUAAGUUCCGACCUGCACGAAUGGCGUAACGACUUCCCCGCUGUCUCAACCGCAGACCCGGCGAAAUUGCACUACGAGUAAAGAUGCUCGUUACGCGCAGCAGGACGGAAAGACCCCGGGACCUUCACUACAGCUUGACAUUGGCGUUUGGAACGUCUUGUGUAGGAUAGGUGGGAGACUGUGAAGCUGUCACGCUAGUGGCGGUGGAGUCAUUGGUGAAAUACCACUCUGGUCGUUUUGAACGUCUAACUUCGGUCCGUGAUCCGGAUCAGGGACAGUGUCUGGUGGGUAGUUUAACUGGGGCGGUUGCCUCCUAAAGAGUAACGGAGGCGCCCAAAGGUUCCCUCAGCCUGGUUGGUAAUCAGGUGUCGAGUGUAAGUGCACAAGGGAGCUUGACUGUGAGACCGACGGGUCGAGCAGGAGCGAAAGCUGGGACUAGUGAUCCGGCGGUGGCAUGUGGAAGCGCCGUCGCUCAACGGCUAAAAGGUACCCCGGGGAUAACAGGCUGAUCUUCCCCAAGAGUCCAUAUCGACGGGAUGGUUUGGCACCUCGAUGUCGGCUCGUCGCAUCCUGGGGCUGGAGUAGGUCCCAAGGGUUGGGCUGUUCGCCCAUUAAAGCGGUACGCGAGCUGGGUUUAGAACGUCGCGAGACAGUUCGGUCCCUAUCCGCUGCGCGCGCAGGAGACUUGAAAGGAGCUGUCCCUAGUACGAGAGGACCGGGACGGACGAACCUCUGGUGUGCCAGUUGUUCCGCCAGGAGCAUGGCUGGUUGGCUACGUUCGGAAGGGAUAACCGCUGAAAGCAUCUAAGCGGGAAGCUCGCCUUGAGAUGAGGUCUCCCACCACGUGAGUGGGUAAGGCCCCCGGGACACGACCGGGUUGAUAGGCCGGAGGUGGAAGCAUGGUAACGUGUGGAGCUGACCGGUACUAAUAGGCCGAGGACUUGACCAC
rnacentral:rRNA from 1 species